rnacentral:snRNA from 1 species
GAGCUCAACGAGAACAGAAAUCUCGUGUGG